GCGCACGUGGCGGAAUUGGUAGACGCGCCAGCUUGAGGGGUUGGUGGACAUUAGUCUGUGGAAGUUCGAAUCUUCUCGUGCGCA
rnacentral:tRNA from 1 species